GUAAUGGAUAUAUGUGUGUUGAUGUUUCUUAAAGGCUCCUUUCAUCAGUUCCUUCUUCGUGCUCCUACCUCUACAACCACGUUCCGUGACAACAGCACACUUGAAAACAUUUUUGCAAGGGUCUUUAUCUAACUGAAAAUCUGAUCACAACAUAAAUCAAAUUUAUGCUGGAAUACAGAUAUUCUUAAGGCUUCACAAACCUUUUAGUGACUGUAUGGGAAGGAAACCAAAACUGGAGAUGGGCACUAUGGUGAAUUUGAAACAAACAAAGAGCUGCUGGAGUGGAUAUGCUGAUUUGUAAUUCUUCAUGGCCCAAAUCACUAAACGCCCUCCAAAUGUCCAUUCAGCACUUCCAUGCUUCAACAGACAAUUUAUAACAGAGGUUGAACAGCGAAACGUACGAGGAGCCCUGGAGGAUUGCGUCCACCUAUGAAAACUGCAACUGGAUUUUAGAAGAUUUCAUUUGGAUUUAGACUUCAUGCUUCAGAGUCUAUUCUAGGGAGACUGGGCUGCUUUGAGUCUAAUUUCAGACC